rnacentral:misc_RNA from 1 species
AAACUGUUACACGAACUGCAUUGCAAAGGUGAAUUGCAAACAAUAUAUAUGACUUGUACUAGGCAUUGACAACAUAUUGGUUUUUAAUAUACAAAAGCAUCCUUUUAGAAAAUUAAACGUUCAGAGGAAAUUGAUUUUAAUAUUAUUAAGAUAAAAGUGCAUAUUUUUAAAAAUGAAGUGCAGUUAAUAACACAAAUUAAAAACAAGCGUAACGAAUUUAAAUGAACAAUUGUAAAUUUAUCCAUUCAUGCUUAAUAUAUUUUCUCAAUUACUUUGUCUUAUAAAAUACAUGUAUUUAAGAUAAAAUAGCUUUAAAUCUGACACUUUUCUACAUUUUGAAAAAGGGUUUUAUUCCAAAACAAAUUAAUAGUCACUGCAUUUGCAAAAUACUCAGUCUUGUUAGAUUUCAUUGUUUAAAUUUUGUUUGAUAAAACCUUAAAUUAAAUCAACAUAAAAACAUCAAUAUGAUAUAGGAUUUGUAAGUGUUUUACAUUUCCUCUAAUUGCAUAUACACAUUUAAAAUAUAUGCAUGAAUAAAAUAUGAUUAAGAUGCAAAAAGUUGUCUUUUUUUAUCUUUGUGUAUAUAUCAAAUGCCUGGACAACUUUGUUGUAAUUAUAGCUUUGAAACAAAAUAUUGUUGCAUG